GCAAGAGCCAGAAAUCACAUGGUGUCAGAUUUGAUAAAUAAAGUGGACAAGGACACUGUAAUGUUAUUACCGGCCUGUCUUUCCACUGGAUGGCACUCAGCAGCACUCACUGGAUUGCUGUCGUAACUUGUAAUGAUAUUCACAAAAGAGAACUUCCAGACCUGCCUCGGAAGGCGGCCAGGACGGCGAGAAAACUCCCUUUAGACAUUCUUCUAAAUUGGACCUGCUGGCAACAAACUUUUAGUGUACUUCAUCUGAGAAUGCUGCUGGAUGCCUGGACACACAACCCUGGCUCCUGAGGUCCCAACAGACCAAAUUUGGCCACCUGCUGCCUGCAAAAUCCUGUCAGGGAGGAGACUGGUGGUGAAACUGAAAAGGGAUUCAUUUUUGGUGUCGUUGAAAAGCCUGCGGGUCUACCGACCUCCUAAGGAUACCGCAUUUGGGGCAUUGACGAUAGCUCCCGCGUCACAUAGCAGGAGAACCACCACAGAAGGCAGAAGAAUGCAGAGUCAAGCGUGCUUGGUCAACCUGGAUAUGGUCUGAUCCAACAAGGACUUUCAUCCCAGCUUCCAGAAACUUCGAACAGAAUGGCCCCAGAAAAUCCUCAGCCAGACUUUCUCUUCAAUCAGAGUUAUGUCAGCAAGGACGCGAUACCAUGGGAUCCAAGCGGUCUCAUACCCCCACAAAACAGAAUGCCUCCCGUGACUAUCCAGCCAAGCACUUCAAUGGGCCUAGGUGAUCCCAGGACAAACUUAACACCACAGGUCCCACCCAGUACCAUGCCCCUUCAGAACAGAAUGCCACCCGUGACUCUCCAGCCGAGCACUUCAAUGGGCCUAGGUGAUCCCAGGACACACUUGACACCACAGGUCCCACCCAGUACCAGUGAGUAUGGUUCUCCAACCUUAUGUCCUCCCUCUAAUGUGCCCCUCUUCUCCUGGGAGUCC
rnacentral:lncRNA from 1 species